UUAACACAUGCAAGUCGAACGAUGAUGCCCAGCUUGCUGGGCGGAUUAGUGGCGAACGGGUGAGUAAUACGUGAGUAACCUGCCCUUGACUCUGGGAUAAGCCUGGGAAACUGGGUCUAAUACUGGAUACUACCUCUUACCGCAUGGUGGGUGGUGGAAAGGGUUUUACUGGUUUUGGAUGGGCUCACGGCCUAUCAGCUUGUUGGUGGGGUAAUGGCUCACCAAGGCGACGACGGGUAGCCGGCCUGAGAGGGUGACCGGCCACACUGGGACUGAGACACGGCCCAGACUCCUACGGGAGGCAGCAGUGGGGAAUAUUGCACAAUGGGCGGAAGCCUGAUGCAGCGACGCCGCGUGAGGGAUGACGGCCUUCGGGUUGUAAACCUCUUUCAGUAGGGAAGAAGCGAGAGUGACGGUACCUGCAGAAGAAGCGCCGGCUAACUACGUGCCAGCAGCCGCGGUAAUACGUAGGGCGCAAGCGUUGUCCGGAAUUAUUGGGCGUAAAGAGCUCGUAGGCGGUUUGUCGCGUCUGCUGUGAAAGCCCGGGGCUCAACCCCGGGUCUGCAGUGGGUACGGGCAGACUAGAGUGCAGUAGGGGAGACUGGAAUUCCUGGUGUAGCGGUGAAAUGCGCAGAUAUCAGGAGGAACACCGAUGGCGAAGGCAGGUCUCUGGGCUGUUACUGACGCUGAGGAGCGAAAGCAUGGGGAGCGAACAGGAUUAGAUACCCUGGUAGUCCAUGCCGUAAACGUUGGGCACUAGGUGUGGGGGACAUUCCACGUUUUCCGCGCCGUAGCUAACGCAUUAAGUGCCCCGCCUGGGGAGUACGGCCGCAAGGCUAAAACUCAAAGGAAUUGACGGGGGCCCGCACAAGCGGCGGAGCAUGCGGAUUAAUUCGAUGCAACGCGAAGAACCUUACCAAGGCUUGACAUUCACCGGACCGCCCCAGAGAUGGGGUUUCCCUUCGGGGCUGGUGGACAGGUGGUGCAUGGUUGUCGUCAGCUCGUGUCGUGAGAUGUUGGGUUAAGUCCCGCAACGAGCGCAACCCUCGUUCUAUGUUGCCAGCACGUGAUGGUGGGGACUCAUAGGAGACUGCCGGGGUCAACUCGGAGGAAGGUGGGGAUGACGUCAAAUCAUCAUGCCCCUUAUGUCUUGGGCUUCACGCAUGCUACAAUGGCCGGUACAAAGGGUUGCGAUACUGUGAGGUGGAGCUAAUCCCAAAAAGCCGGUCUCAGUUCGGAUUGAGGUCUGCAACUCGACCUCAUGAAGUCGGAGUCGCUAGUAAUCGCAGAUCAGCAACGCUGCGGUGAAUACGUUCCCGGGCCUUGUACACACCGCCCGUCAAGUCACGAAAGUUGGUAACACCCGAAGCCGGUGGCCUAACCCCUUGUGGGAGGGAGCCGUCGAAGGUGGA
rnacentral:rRNA from 1 species